AGAAGACACACUCUGGUGCAAAUGGGAAUGAGCCUGAGCUGGGUGCUGCGGGCACUGCCACGUGGACUCACAGAGGAACUUGCUGAGCUUCUUGUCCUCCUUCUCCAAGUAAGUGUGCACUCCCACUUUUAUUCUGUGCCUGUCUGCUUUUCUUCACUCUCCCAAACUUUCAGAUAAUCACUUUUU
rnacentral:lncRNA from 1 species